UUGGGUACAUGAUGGCAGGCAUGAGCUGUGGGAUUCUGGACACAGGUCUGGGUCAAACAUAAAUGCUAACAUUCUUUGUGUGACUUUAGGUGGGUGACUUCACAUCUCUGAGCCUUGGUUCCUGCUCUGUAAUGUGCCAAUCACUGGGUCAGUUUAGGGGAAGGUUCUCAUUAAGUGCAGAUAUUUUUAGGAAAUUCGCUUUUCUAUCCUGGUUCUUUCCUUUGGAAUCAAAAGAUCGCUCACAGAGAAAAGCUUCUCCGUUGGUGGCUUCUGUUAGCCCCCAGAGGUCAAGCACAGAGCGCUUGAACCUUCUACUAGCAUUGGCACCAUUGUCUGUGACUCAUUCUAGCCUGGUUCACCUUCCCGUAGAUGUCCCAACAAAGUCAAGGGGGACCCUGUGACUGCCUAGACACAGAUUCCUGUCCACUUACAACAAGCAAACAACAACCUUUAAAGCUUUACAAAAAAUAAAUUACAUUCCCUGAGAGCAGUCCCAGAAGAAAUGUCAUUGGAGUCAUAAAACUGUUUUGCUGUGACCUAUGUAAAAGUCCCAGGAAAUAAACUGACUUCCUGAUCAUUCGGUAAAGUCUCCUGUCCCUUGUCUUGAGGAAAUUGGAUUGAAUGACUUGAAAAGCCAAUACCUGAAGCUUGGCAGGGAAGACAGGGCUCACUCUGUGCUGAAGCAUGGAGCAUUGCUAUGUGUUAAUGUCAUCGCUCUGAAUGUGCCAAUCAUAGUCUUUCACGGGACCCAGGCAGGUCACCCAUGUCUAUGGAAGAGGCAGACCCUGUGGCCAGCAGAGGCUUGAAAAAGCUAGAAUUAGAUUCUGAUAUCACACGGAUGCUUCUGAUGGGAACUUCUCAGAAUGGAGCAAGGAAAGGAAAAUCAACAGAGGGUGUACUGACCCUCUGUAAUGUGCCAAGCAUGGCUCCCAUUACUUUCAUCAACCAUCAUAUUUACACCUCUCUAUCCUGUGAGGGCACAUUGUGACUCCUGUGUUGGAAGGGCGAGCUGAGCCUCAAGGGUGUGAAGUGUUUUCUGUAGGGUCACACAGGGAGUGAACACUGGUUCUUUAUUUGAACCCAGGUCCACAUACCUGUGACUCAAUGCAGCCCACUCUUCUGUCCACCAAGAUGUCCUUUUAUUCCUGACAUAUUUCUGGGGUCUAGAGUAAGGGGAGCAUUGGCCCUAGGCUGGUAAAUCUACAUAAAGCACCAUCAAUAGCUAGCAUCCAUUUCGUUCGCAGUUCUCAUGCUGAGGGUAUAUGGAGACACUGUAUGUGUGGGCUUCCUACAUUGACACACAGACACAUAGCACCUAGGUGACAGAGGAGUUGAUGCCAUUAUAGGAUGAGGUUUAGACGCUUCCUUCUCCUUACUGGAAUGUGUAUCCCAGUGUCCCUUUGAUUGAUGGGCUGAGAGGGGAGAUGGAGGGGGGGUAUUACCACUGGGUUAAGGCACAUAAUGAGCCCAGGGCUUAGGCGCCACCAAGCUAGUGAUGGCACCUGGCAAACAGACAGUUCCUGCACAAACUACUGAUUUGGAUAGAAACUCUGUCACUUAAAUUAUGUUGAGUAAAGUUUGAGCUGGGAUGUACCAUCAUAAGGAUGUGGCUAAUUUACUGUCAUUGCACUGGGUCAGGAAAGAACUAUGUAUGCCUCUCUGUGUGUAGUGUGUGUUUGUGUGUGUGUGUGUGUGUGUGUGUGUGUUCUUGUAUGUAUAUUUGUGCUUGUGUUUGAUGUAUGCACCUGUGUGUCUAUGUGUAUCUAUAUGUAAAUGUGUGUGCCUGUGCUAAUGUGUGGUAGAUAUGCCUGUGUGUAUCUGUCUAUGCAUGUGUAUGUAUGUGGUGUAUGUACAUCUGUGUGCAUCUGUGUGGUGCGUGUGCAUGUGUGUGUACAUGGUACAUGUGUAUGGUGUGUAGGUAUCUCACUCGAGUAUGUUUCCAUUCACUGAUAUACUUCCUCCACCUCCAGUUGCAAGCUGGAGAGAGAAUCUGUGGUGACAAAACACCCUGAGAGACUUCCUC
rnacentral:lncRNA from 1 species